UGUUUUAGCCAUCGCAAUGGUCUACUACGAACCAGGUCAGGGCAGGAAUGCAGCAGCCUUAAGAAGAUCAGAUUAUGUGCGAUGGUUUUAAAAUAUG
rnacentral:SRP_RNA from 1 species